rnacentral:misc_RNA from 1 species
GUUUAUUUCUGUAAAAUAUAAUAUUUUGAAUACAUAUUCUUAGAUUAAAAAAAAUAAAAAAUUUGCAUAUCGGUAGGAUGUUAUAUGUUAUAGCUGUGUGCUAGGGUUCUUGAUCCCUAACAGAGUUGGUUUCACCUUUAGAAUGAGAACAGAAUAAGAAAUAGGGAGAGAGAUAGAAGAAACGGAUUAGGAAUAUAGAGAAGAAAAGAGGAAAGGAUAGGGAAAAGAUUAUAGUUUGUUACUGAAUCUCAACAUAAUCAACAACAAACUGAAAUGCCUAUAUUUACACAGGCAUGGCUAUUGAAUUAAAUGUUCUUGCCAAUUAUUCUGCCCCUCUAUAUUUCUGGUACAAGUUAUAACUUCUUCCUAACACUUUCUUAGCUACUCAAACUAGUUUUACUUCUCAUCUUCCUUUAACUAUCACUAACCUAUUUCUUCGUAAACCUGGGUCUCUGAUAUUUAACACCGUGAUAGCUCCGUUUCUGUUACACACAACGACAAUUGUCAUUGUGACCAUGACCACAAUUUAAAUCCAUGGUUUUAGUGCUUUUGUUUGUCUUUCUGCAUAAUUAAUUUUGACUAACGUGCAGUAAAAAAAAAUGAAGUCCAAAUAUGGCAUAUUUUAUUUGAGAAUGAUAAUAUACAAAGUUUACCCUUUAAAACUUAAAACAUGACUGUUCAUGUUUCCAUGUCUUUGCUUCCACCCAUGUUUUUGGCUUUUCAUUUGUUUAAGUCCUGCUAGCAGCCGCCAUGUUUGAGAGAGCACAAAUACACAGGUUUACAGAGUGUGAUUAGUGUCUUUCUUGUCUCAUUUUAGUAAGAUGUUUAAAGAAUAUGGAUCUUGAGGUGCAUCUGAUAAAGCAUUCACAUUGCACAAUUAUGAUGGCUAUUCUCUAUUUUUGGAGUGGCAUUCAUCCAAAAUUUUUCUGCUUUUGACCAAUUAUCCUAGGUUUGACUGUAUAAAAUUCUAACAGGAGUUAUAACUCUGAAAUUUUAUGCUGUUCUUGAUCUUUUGUAGGCCUUGAUUGUGUACAUACUGA